rnacentral:rRNA from 1 species
AACGAACGCUGGCGGCAUGCCUAACACAUGCAAGUCGAACGAGACCUUCGGGUCUAGUGGCGCACGGGUGCGUAACGCGUGGGAACCUGCCCUUAGGUUCGGAAUAACUCCCCGAAAGGGGUGCUAAUACCGGAUAAUGUCUUCGGACCAAAGAUUUUUCGCCUUUGGAUGGGCCCGCGUUGGAUUAGCUAGUUGGUAGGGUAAAAGCAUAGCAAGGCGACGAUGCAUAGCUGGUCUGAGAGGAUGAUCAGCCACACUGGGACUGAGGCACGGCCCAGACUCCUACGCGAGGGAGCGGUGGGGAAUAUUGGGCGAUGGGGGAAAGUCUGAUACAGCCAUGCCGCGUGAGUGAUGAAGGCCUUAGGAUUGUAAAGCUCUUUUAGCCGAGAUGAUAAUGACAGUACCGGGAGAAUAAGCUCCGGCUAACUCCGUG